GAUGAACGCUGGCGGCGUGCCUAAUACAUGCAAGUCGAGCGAACAGACGAGGAGCUUGCUCCUCUGACGUUAGCGGCGGACGGGUGAGUAACACGUGGAUAACCUACCUAUAAGACUGGGAUAACUUCGGGAAACCGGAGCUAAUACCGGAUAAUAUAUUGAACCGCAUGGUUCAAUAGUGAAAGACGGUUUUGCUGUGACUUAUAGAUGGAUCCGCGCCGCAUUAGCUAGUUGGUAAGGUAACGGCUUACCAAGGCAACGAUGCGUAGCCGACCUGAGAGGGUGAUCGGCCACACUGGAACUGAGACACGGUCCAGACUCCUACGGGAGGCAGCAGUAGGGAAUCUUCCGCAGUGGGCGAAAGCCUGACGGAGCAACGCCGCGUGAGUGAUGAAGGUCUUCGGAUCGUAAAACGCUGUUAUUAGGGAAGAACAAAUGUGUAAGUAACUAUGCACGUCUUGACGGUACCUAAUCAGAAAGCCACGGCUAACUACGU
rnacentral:rRNA from 1 species